AUACGGAGGGAGCGAGCGUUAAUCGGAAUUACUGGGCGUAAAGCGCGCGUAGGCGGUUUGGUCAGUCGGAUGUGAAAGCCCUGGGCUCAACCUGGGAAUGGCAUUCGAUACUGCUUGGCUAGAGUAUGGUAGAGGGUAGUGGAAUUCCUGGUGUAGCGGUGAAAUGCGUAGAUAUCAGGAGGAACAUCAGUGGCGAAGGCGGCUACCUGGACCAAUACUGACGCUAAGGUGCGAAAGCGCGGGGAGCAAACAGGAUUAGAAACCCCAGUAGUCC
rnacentral:rRNA from 1 species